AUAAGCGGAGGAAAAGAAACUAACAAGGAUUCCCCUAGUAACUGCGAGUGAAGCGGGAAAAGCUCAAAUUUAAAAUCUGGCAGUCUCUGGCUGUCCGAGUUGUAAUCUAGAGAAGUGAUGCCCGCGCUGGACCGUGUACAAGUCUCCUGGAAUGGAGCGUCAUAGAGGGUGAGAAUCCCGUCUCUGACACGGACUACCAGGGCUUUGUGGUAUGCUCUCAAAGAGUCGAGUUGUUUGGGAAUGCAGCUCUAAAUGGGUGGUAAAUUCCAUCUAAAGCUAAAUAUUGGCGAGAGACCGAUAGCGAACAAGUACCGUGAGGGAAAGAUGAAAAGAACUUUGGAAAGAGAGUUAAACAGUACGUGAAAUUGCUGAAAGGGAAACGCUUGAAGUCAGUCUCGUUGGCUAGGAAUCAGCCUCACUUCUGUGUGGUGUACUUUCUGGUUGACGGGUCAGCAUCAAUUUUGAUCGCUGGAAAAAGACUUGGGGAAUGUGGCAGCUCCGGCUGUGUUAUAGCCCUUUGUCACAUACAGCGGUUGGGAUUGAGGAACUCAGCACGCCGCAAGGCCGGGUUUCGACCACGUUCGUGCUUAGGAUGCUGGCAUAAUGGCUUUAAGCGACCCGUCUUGAAACACGGACCAAGGAGUCUAACAUGCCUGCAAGUGUUUGGGUGGAAAACCCGGGCGCGUAAUGAAAGUGAAAGUUGAGAUCCCUGUCGUGGGGAGCAUCGACGCCCGGACCAGAUCUUUUGUGACGGAUCCGCGGUAGAGCAUGUAUGUUGGGACCCGAAAGAUGGUGAACUAUGCCUGAAUAGGGUGAAGCCAGAGGAAACUCUGGUGGAGGCUCGUAGCGAUUCUGACGUGCAAAUCGAUCGUCAAAUUUGGGUAUAGGGGCGAAAGACUAAUCGAACCAUCUAGUAGCUGUCC
rnacentral:rRNA from 1 species